rnacentral:pre_miRNA from 1 species
AGGAGGAACAGCCCCAGUGGCGGGGCCAGCUCUGGAGCCCUGGAUUCAGCCCCCGCAGUAACUCCGGAGGCUCUCUGUCUGCAGGGCCUGGAGGCUCCGGGCGGGG